rnacentral:rRNA from 1 species
UACGGGGGGAGCAAGCGUUGUUCGGAUUUACUGGGCGUAAAGGGCGCGUAGGCGGUCAGCACAAGUCAGUUGUGAAAUCUUCGAGCUUAACUCGGAAAGGUCAACUGAUACUGUGCGACUAGAGUGCGGAAGGGGCAACUGGAAUUCUUGGUGUAGCGGUGAAAUGCGUAGAUAUCAAGAGGAACACCUGCGGCGAAGGCGGGUUGCUGGGCCGACACUGACGCUGAAGCGCGAAAGCCAGGGGAGCGAACGGG